AGAGGUUGCAAGUUCGAUGCCAUAGCAGAAGUGCUCAUGGCACAGCCCUGUCAGAUUCGAAACAAUCUGUGAAUUCUGCU
ensembl:ribozyme